rnacentral:rRNA from 1 species
UCGUGGAGUGAUCUGUCUGGUUAAUUCCGCUAACGAACGAGAUCUCACUGUAUUUAAAUAGCGACACAGACGGCCUAUCAGUGGUGGGGUGGGUUCGCCUGCCCUGCCGCCAGGCGCAGUUUGGUGAUAUAGCUUCUUAGAGGGACGGUAUCUCGGUUAGAGAUUGGGAGUGAGGCAAUAACA